UACGAAGGGUGCAAGCGUUACUCGGAAUUACUGGGCGUAAAGGGUGCGUAGGUGGUUUGUUAAGUCUGCUGUGAAAUCCCCGGGCUCAACCUGGGAAUGGCAGUGGAUACUGGCAAGCUAGAGUGCGGUAGAGGGUAGUGGAAUUCCCGGUGUAGCAGUGAAAUGCGUAGAGAUCGGGAGGAACACCAGUGGCGCAAGCGGCUAACUGGCCGAGACCUGACGCUGAGACGCGACGGCGUGGGGAGCAAACCGG
rnacentral:rRNA from 1 species